UAUGAUGAUUUCAUGAUGGAGAGUAUUUAGAAAUUAAUCACUAAUUAUGUAUAUCUCAAAUUCUCAAUAUCUUAAGAAUAUAUAAAAAUAUUUUUUUUAAGUUCAAAAAUAAAUCAUAGACACAAAAACAUGAUUGAAAAUAAGAAGUCCUUUUAUUAAUAAUGAAAUUUUACAAGUACAAAUACAAGCUUUGGAAUUAUAAUGUGUCAGCCAACAAUUGGCUUUCUAGGAUACACAUCUAACACUGCGGACCUCAACCUUAUCUCAAUCAUC
rnacentral:lncRNA from 1 species